rnacentral:lncRNA from 1 species
UGACCAUGUGCUUCAUAGUUGACGCCAACGAAGGUGGCACGAGACGCUACCAUGGCCAGAGGUGGUGACGCGAAGUGAAGGUGAGGCCAGGCGAAGGUGUUGCGGUGAUGGCCGGAGGUGUUGACGAAUGUGGCCAUGGAGGAGAGGAAGAAGAUAAAGAGAAGGAGAGACAAAGAUAGAGAGGAGGAGAGGGGAAAGCUUCCGGAGGUGCUGGAGAGAGAAAAAAAAUUAUCGAGAAAAGAAGAAA